UACGUAGGGUCCGAGCGUUGUCCGGAAUUAUUGGGCGUAAAGGGCUCGUAGGCGGUUUGUCGCGUCGGGAGUGAAAACACCGGGCUUAACUCGGUGCUUGCUUUCGAUACGGGCAGACUAGAGGUAUUCAGGGGAGAACGGAAUUCCUGGUGUAGCGGUGAAAUGCGCAGAUAUCAGGAGGAACACCGGUGGCGAAGGCGGUUCUCUGGGAAUAUCCUGACGCUGAGGAGCGAAAGUGUGGGGAGCGAACAGGAUUAGAUACCCUGGUAGUCCACACCGUAAACGUUGGGCGCUAGGUGUGGGGUCCAUUCCACGGAUUCCGUGCCGCAGCUAACGCAUUAAGCGCCCCGCCUGGGGAGUACGGCCGCAAGGCUAAA
rnacentral:rRNA from 1 species